UACGUAGGGGGCUAGCGUUGUCCGGAAUCAUUGGGCGUAAAGAGCGUGUAGGCGGUCCGGUAAGUCCGCUGUGAAAGUCGGGGGCUCAACCCUCGAAUGCCGGUGGAUACUGUCGGGCUAGAGUGCGGAAGAGGCGAGUGGAAUUCCUGGUGUAGCGGUGAAAUGCGCAGAUAUCGGGAAGAACACCCGUGGCGAAGGCGGCUCUCUGGAACGCAACUGACGCUGAGACGCGAAAGCGUGGGGAGCAAACAGG
rnacentral:rRNA from 1 species